rnacentral:rRNA from 1 species
GUUAAUCGGAAUUACUGGGCGUAAAGCGUGCGCAGGCGGUUCGUUAAGUUCGUCGUGAAAGCCCCGGGCUCAACCUGGGAAUGGCGAUGGAAACUGGCGGGCUGGAGUGUGGCAGAGGGGGGUGGAAUUCCGCGUGUAGCAGUGAAAUGCGUGGAGAUGCGGAGGAACACCGAUGGCGAAGGCAGCCCCCUGGGCCAACACUGACGCUCAUGCACGAAAGCGUGGGGAGCAAACAGG